rnacentral:tRNA from 1 species
GCGGGGGUAGCAAAGUCUGGCCAAAUGCGCAGGACUUAAGAUCCUGUCCUUUAGUAGGUUCGAGGGUUCAAUCUUUGGUGGUUAAUCCACAUUGAGAACACAUCCCUUCCCCCGCA